UCUGGUACCUCUGGUGCCCGAGUUGUAAUUUGUAGAAGGUAAUCUUGGGAGUGGGCCUUGUCUAUGUUCCUUGGAACAGGACGUCGAAGAGGGUGAGAAUCCCGUAAGGCGAGGAGACCACAUUCUUUGUAAGAUGCUUUCGAAGAGUCGAGUUGUUUGGGAAUGCAGCUCUAAGUGGGUGGUAAAUUCCAUCUAAAGCUAAAUAUUGGCGAGAGACCGAUAGCGAACAAGUACAGUGAUGGAAAGAUGAAAAGCACUUUGAAAAGAGAGUGAAACAGUACGUGAAAUUGUUGAAAGGGAAGGGCUUUAGAUCAGACUUGGUAUUUAGCUAUCAUUGCUCCUUGUGGGCGGUGCUCUAGCUUUUUACUGGGCCAGCAUCGGUUUAGGCGGUAGGAUAAUGGUGAAGGAACGUAGCUCUGCUUCGGUGGAGUGUUAUAGCCUGUUACUGAUACUACCUGCUUAGACCGAGGACUGC
rnacentral:rRNA from 1 species